AUUUGAACAUCCAACGAGGCAACAACAAACGUAAUUAGACCAUCUCCAUUGAAGGUAUUUCAUAAGAGUUUUUCACAAUUAAAAAAAUAAAAAUAAUGAAAAUGAAGGAGAGAAAAUGUAGAAAGUUUCUCACUUGAAAAAUUUUGAGAUAUUCUCUACAACCCAUCAUGACAAUUCUCAUCUCACUAUUGAUUCAAUUUUUUAACAAAAUUACUUUUUUAAUCAAAUAAUUAAAUUAUAAUAUAAUAUUAAUA
rnacentral:sRNA from 1 species